GCGUGGAGGAGGCUGUAACCGCGCCUGUAAUACGGAGAGCUUCCGUGACCUGUGACAGUCGGUUUGGCCGGCGCCAUGUUGGACUCUGUAAUGUUGCCGGAAGUUGUGCAAAUAAAGUUUAAACAAGCA